UGGGGAAUAUUGGACAAUGGGGGGAACCCUGAUCCAGCCAUGCCGCGUGUGUGAAGAAGGCUUUAUGGUUGUAAAGCACUUUAAGCGAGGAGGAGGGUACUGGUAUUAAUACUACCAGGUACUGGACGUUACUCGCAGAAUAAGCACCGGCUAACUCUGUGCCAGCAGCCGCGGUAAUACAGAGGGUGCGAGCGUUAAUCGGAUUUACUGGGCGUAAAGCGUGCGUAGGCGGCUAAUUGAGUCGGAUGUGAAAUCCCCGAGCUUAACUUGGGAAUUGCAUUCGAUACUGGUUAGCUUGAGUGUGGGAGAGGGUGGUAGAAUUCCAGGUGUAGCGGUGAAAUGCGUAGAGAUCUGGAGGAAUACCGAUGGCGAAGGCAGCCAUCUGGCCUAACACUGACGCUGGGGUACGAAAGCAUGGGGGGCAAACAGG
rnacentral:rRNA from 1 species